rnacentral:rRNA from 1 species
GAUGAACGCUGGCGGCGUGCCUAAUACAUGCAAGUAGAACGCUGAAGGAGGAGCUUGCUCUUCUGGAUGAGUUGCGAACGGGUGAGUAACGCGUAGGUAACCUGCCUGGUAGCGGGGGAUAACUAUUGGAAACGAUAGCUAAUACCGCAUGACAACAGUUAUUGCAUGAUAACUGUUUAAAAGGGGCAACUGCUCCACUACCAGAUGGACCUGCGUUGUAUUAGCUAGUUGGUGAGGUAACGCCUCACCAAGGCGACGAUACAUAGCCGACCUGAGAGGGUGAUCGGCCACACUGGGACUGAGACACGGCCCAGACUCCUACGGGAGGCAGCAGUAGGGAAUCUUCGGCAAUGGACGGAAGUCUGACCGAGCAAUGCCGCGUGAGUGAAGAAGGUUUUCGGAUCGUAAAGCUCUGUUGUAAGAGAAGAACGAGUGUGAGAGUGGAAAGUUCACACUGUGACGGUAUCUUACCAGAAAGGGACGGCUAACUACGUG